CUUCUAUAUAAGGGGAGCUCUUCCCAUCGUUCACCAGCAGUUCACAAAAGCAAGUCGAAGACAUUAGAACGCAGCUGAUACUCUCUUGAUCAGACCCUCUACGUAAGAGCAACCCCUCAGAGAUUCGACAUGAAUAUCCGUAUGGUAUUUGUGCUCUUGCUGGUGGCUCUGGUUAGUUUUGUAUCAGUGGAUGGGAUGCUGUUCAACCUGAAGCAUAGGAAGAGGCCCGGAGAGAAGCGGUUCGGCGCCACUGACUACGGCCUCCACAAGUUCGGGAGAAAAGGAUACAACGGCGAUAUCAACAAGUAAUGUGAACCAGAAACCCUGGCGUGGUCAUCGAGUCUCCGCCCACCGACCUGGCGGAGAGCGAUGAUUCCCAAGUGCCAAGACGAUAUCCCAUCCCGGGAGGGAAGCACCAGGAAACGAGGGCAUCCCCUCGCGGGACCUUGCUACCAAACGCUGACCAAACUCCACGACGGAAGUGACGCAGCAGAGACGUUAGAUUCAGAGGGUCAUCUGAAAAAUGGGGGGAUAAAAUGCCAUCUGGAAAGGAAACUCUGCAAGAAGUGUCUUUUUAAGAAACUUUGAGCAUUGCUCUUUCCAUUUGUCGAGUAGACCUAAAUUGUAACGAUAUUUUUAGAGAAGAUCAAAGCCUGAUGGAAUGACAGAUGCUGCACAGAAGCUUUAAAGAAAGCUCAUUUAAAAGACGUUCGAGUUCGUCAGUUUGUGACGAAAUUCAACGCUUUUUUUUAUCGUUCAAAUCCCUCCAAGCAAUAAUAUUGCAAACCUUUUAGAAUUCCAUGAAUUAUAAAAUGCUCUCUGUGUGAUGCUUAUCUGUAAUGCUUACCUGUGGAGCAUCAAGUGUGUCUAAUGCUUUGUAAACUUGCUAAUUCUCGUUGUGAACUUCUGUGAACAUCUGUUGGUACAUUUUCUUUCUUUCGUGUUAGAUUAUUAAGGUCUUUGUGGUGUGAUUUCCAUGAUUUUAUUUAUUUAAAAAUUUUAUAAAUAAA